UACAUGUGGGGCAAGCGUUGUUCGGAAUUACUGGGCAUAAAGGGUGCGUAGGCGGUUUGUUAAGUCACUGGUGAAAGUUUUCGGCCCAACCGGAAAAUUGCCUGUGAUACUGGCGAACUUGAGUGCGUGAGGGGUGGGGGGAACGAGCAGUGUAGCGGUGAAAUGCGUAGAUAUCUGAAGGAACAUCAGUGGCGAAAGCGACUUCCUGGACCAAUACUGACGCUCAUGUGCGAAAGCGUGGGGAGCAAACAGG
rnacentral:rRNA from 1 species